UACGGAGGGUGCAAGCGUUGUUCGGAAUUAUUGGGCGUAAAGGGCGUGUAGGUGGCACUCCAAGUCUGUUGUGAAAGCCCACGGCUCAACCGUGGAACUGCAAUGGAAACUGGGGCGCUCGAGUAUUGGAGGGGGUCGCGGAAUUCCCGGUGUAGAGGUGAAAUUCGUAGAUAUCAGGAGGAACACCGGUGGCGAAGGCGGCCACCUGGACGACAACUGACGCUGAGACGCGAAAGCGUGGGGAGCAAACAGGAUUAGAUACCCUUGUAGU
rnacentral:rRNA from 1 species